rnacentral:rRNA from 12 species
GCAAACCCGCUGAAUUUAAGCAUAUAAGUAAGCGGAGGAAAAGAAACUAAAUAGGAUUCCCUCAGUAAUGGCGAAUGAACAGGGAUGAGCUCAGUAUGGAAAUUGGGGCCUGUGGCCUUGAAUUGUAGUCUGGAGAUGUACCACCAACUGGGGCGCAGAUGUAAGCCUCUUGGAAAAGAGCAUCAAUGAGGGUGAGAGUCCCGCUUGGCAUCUGCAGUCCCCAGUGCACGGUGUACCUUCUAAGAGUCACGUUCCUCGGGAUUGGAGCGCAAAUCGGGUGGUAAGUUUCAUCUAAAGCUAAAUAUAGUUUCGAGACCGAUAGCAAACAAGUACCAUGAGGGAAAGGUGAAAAGGACUUUGAAAAGAGAGUUAAAAGUGCCUGAAAUUGCUGAAAGGGAAGCGAAUGGAACCAGCGUAACUUGGCGAGAUUGCUGCGUGUCAAUGUGAUUGCUUGCUGCUUCAACGUAAGUGUUGUAGUAAGUCUUGAACAGGACAUGCGCGGUGCUUCUUGCCUUGUGUGUCACCGUCAGUUCGCAACUGGGGAAAACUUCAGGGACAUGGUAGCCUGUCUCCGGGUGGGUGAACGUGUUUGCUGGAACUCAUUUGCGGAUUGCUUGGUGACUAAAUGGUUCCAUCUGACCCGUCUUGAAACACG